UCUAUGGAGAGUUUGAUCCUGGCUCAGGACGAACGCUGGCGGCGUGCCUAAUACAUGCAAGUCGAGCGGAGUUUUGAAAAGCUUGCUUUUCAAAACUUAGCGGCGGACGGGUGAGUAACACGUGGGCAACCUGCCCUUGAGACGGGGAUAACUCCGGGAAACCGGAGCUAAUACCGGAUAACACAUAUCUUCGCAUGAGGAUAUGUUAGAAGGUGGCUUUUAGCUACCACUCAAGGAUGGGCCCGCGGCGCAUUAGCUAGUU
rnacentral:rRNA from 1 species